rnacentral:rRNA from 1 species
AGUCGAGCGAAUGGAUUGAGAGCUUGCUCUCAAGAAGUUAGCGGCGGACGGGUGAGUAACACGUGGGUAACCUGCCCAUAAGACUGGGAUAACUCCGGGAAACCGGGGCUAAUACCGGAUAAUAUUUUGAACUGCAUGGUUCGAAAUUGAAAGGCGGCUUCGGCUGUCACUUAUGGAUGGACCCGCGUCGCAUUAGCUAGUUGGUGAGGUAACGGCUCACCAAGGCAACGAUGCGUAGCCGACCUGAGAGGGUGAUCGGCCACACUGGGACUGAGACACGGCCCAGACUCCUACGGGAGGCAGCAGU